GACGAACGCUGGCGGCGUGCCUAAUACAUGCAAGUCGAACGAACGGAGCUAGGAACUUGCUCCCGGCAAAGUUAGUGGCGCACGGGUGAGUAACACGUGGAGAACCUACCCUUUUGCGGGGGAUAACCAUUGGAAACGAUGACUAAUACCGCAUAGAAUCGCAGAUCGCAUGAUCAACGAAGGAAAGACGGCUUCGGCUGUCACAAAAGGAUGGCUCCGCGGUGCAUUAGCUAGAUGGUGGGGUAACGGC
rnacentral:rRNA from 1 species